rnacentral:rRNA from 1 species
UGGGGAAUAUUGCGCAAUGGGCGAAAGCCUGACGCAGCAACGCCGCGUGAGUGAUGAAGGCCUUCGGGUCGUAAAGCUCUGUCGGAGGGAACGAAUGCUCUUGAGGUUAACAGCCUCGGGAGGUGACGGUACCCUCAAAGGAAGCACCGGCUAACUCUGUGCCAGCAGCCGCGGUAAUACAGAGGGUGCAAGCGUUGUUCGGAAUCAUUGGGCGUAAAGGGCGUGUAGGCGGUAUGUUAAGUCAUGUGUGAAAUCCCUCGGCUCAACCGGGGAACGACGCAUGAAACUAGCAAGCUAGAGUACCAAAGAGGGUGGUGGAAUUCCCGGUGUAGCGGUGGAAUGCGUAGAUAUCGGGAGGAACACCGAUGGCGAAAGCGGCUACCUGGGCCAGAUCUGACGCUGAGGCGCGAAAGCUAGGGGAGCAAACAGGAUUAGAUACCCCCGUAGUCCCUGAGCGGGCUGGCAAGGCGCAU